rnacentral:lncRNA from 1 species
ACAUUAUCAGUUCUGAUUUGUGUGCUGGCUGCCUGGAGUGUGAUUGAUUACCAGCAAAUCAAGGGUUAUCCAUGAAAAAUCCAUGGGUUGCUCAUUAUCCAGUUUUUUGACCAUUCAGCAAGUCUGCUUCCUGUAUUAAUAAAAGAGGCUGCCAAACAUUUCCAGAAGACUUCUGCUGAAGAGGAGCUGAAAGCUUACAUACCUGAAAAUCACCUACAGUCCAC